CGGAUUGUAGUCUGCAACCCGACUACAUGAAGCUGGAAUCGCUAGUAAUCGCGGAUCAGAAUGCCGCGGUGAAUACGUUCCCGGGUCUUGUACACACCGCCCGUCACACCAUGGGAGUCGGAAAUGCCCGAAGUCUGUGACCUAACCGUAAGGAGGGAGCAGCCGAAGGCAGGUCGGAUGACUGGGGUGAAGUCGUAACAAGGUAUC
rnacentral:rRNA from 1 species